GACAGAGGGUGCAAACGUUGUUCGGAAUUACUGGGCGUAAAGCGUGUGUAGGUGGCUCUGCAGGUCGGAUGUGAAAUCCCUCGGCUCAACCGAGGAAGUGCAUUCGAAACCAUAGAGCUAGAGUGUCGGAGAGGAAGGCAGAAUUCUCGGUGUAGAGGUGAAAUUCGUAGAUAUCGAGAGGAAUACCUGCGGCGAAAGCGGCCUUCUGGACGAACACUGACACUGAGACACGAAAGCGUGGGGAGCAAACAGG
rnacentral:rRNA from 1 species